UAGAACGACGCUGGCGGCAUGCCUAACACAUGCAAGUCGAACGAGACCUUCGGGUCUAGUGGUGCACGGGUGCGUAACGCGUGGGAACCUGCCUUUAGGUUCGGAAUAACUCAGAGAAAUUUGAGCUAAUACCGGAUGAUGUCUUCGGACCAAAGAUUUAUCGCUUUAGAUGGGCCCGCGUAAGAUUAGCUAGUUGGUGGGGUAAAGGCCUACCAAGGCGACGAUCUUUAGCUGGUCUGAGAGGAUGAUCAGCCACACUGGGACUGAGACACGGCCCAGACUCCUACGGGAGGCAGCAGUGGGGAAUAUUGGACAAUGGGCGAAAGCCUGAUCCAGCAAUGCCGCGUGAGUGAUGAAGGCCUUAGGGUUGUAAAGCUCUUUUACCCGAGAUGAUAAUGACAGUAUCGGGAGAAUAAGCUCCGGCUAACUCCGUG
rnacentral:rRNA from 1 species